rnacentral:lncRNA from 1 species
AGCAAGUGGCUGUGGUCCCCUUCCACGGUGUGGGGGCUUUGUUCUUUCCCUCUUUGCAAUAAAUCUUGCUGCUGCUCACUCUUUGGGUCCACACUGUCUUUAUGAGCUGUAACAUUCACCGCGAAGGUUUGCAGCUUCACUCCUUAAGCCAGUGAAACCACUAACCCACCAAGAAGAAUGAACAAACAACUCCAGACGCGCGGCCUUAAGAGCUGUAACACUCACCGCGAAGGUCCGCAGCGUCUCUCCUGAGCUAGUGUGACCACGAACCAACCAGAAGGAACAAACUCCGAACACGCCGCCUUUAAGAACUGUAAUACUCACCGCGACGGCUUUUAAGAACUGUAACACUCACCGCGACGGUCGGCGGCUUCAUUCUUGAAGUCAGUCAGACCAAGAACCUACCAAUUCCGGACGCACUACCCGGGGGACAUGAUAAAUCUGGGAAGGGCACCUCAGGUUUUAUCUUCAUCAGCCUGGUCAAAGCUGGAUUUCCAUCACACAUGUGCUCACUCCACGGAACGUGCAAAAGGUCAAGACAUACAAACUCAGAGUUUUUAAAAUCAAGAAUUGAAAGU